rnacentral:rRNA from 1 species
AGCGAACGCUGGCGGCAGGCCUAACACAUGCAAGUCGAACGAACCUUUCGGGGUUAGUGGCGGACGGGUGAGUAACACGUGGGAACGUGCCUUUAGGUUCGGAAUAACUCAGGGAAACUUGUGCUAAUACCGAAUGUGCCCUUCGGGGGAAAGAUUUAUCGCCUUUAGAGCGGCCCGCGUCUGAUUAGCUAGUUGGUUGAGGUAAUGGCUCACCAAGGCGACGAUCAGUAGCUGGUCUGAGAGGAUGAUCAGCCACAUUGGGACUGAGACACGGCCCAAACUCCUACGGGAGGCAGCAGUGGGGAAUCUUGCGCAAUGGGCGAAAGCCUGACGCAGCCAUGCCGCGUGAAUGAUGAAGGUCUUAGGAUUGUAAAAUUCUUUCACCGGUGACGAUAAUGACGGUACCCGGAGAAGAAGCCCCGGCUAACUUCGU